rnacentral:rRNA from 1 species
CAAAUGCGAAGGCAGCUUGCUAGAACAGUCCUGACGCUGAGACACGAAAGCGUGGGGAGAGAAGAGGAUUAGAUACCCUCGUAUUCCACGCUGUAAACGAUGGAUGCUGGGUAUUGGAAGUGUCGACCCUUCCAGUAUCGUUAUAAAAAAGCUAACGCGUUAAGCAUCCCGCCUGGGAAGUACGGCCGCAAGGCUAAAACUUAAAGGAAUAGACGGGACUCCGCACAAGCGGUGGAUCAUGUGGUUUAAUUCGACGCUAAGCGAAGAACCUUACCAGGGUUUGAAAUGUUAUGUUGUAGGUUGGCCGAAAGGUCAAUUGACCGUCAAAUCGGAACUUAACACAGGUGCUGCAUGGUUGUCGUCAGCUCGUGCCGUGAGGUGUACCGUUAAGUCGGGAAACGAGCGCAACCCCUACUGUUAGUUACUAACGGGUUAUGCCGAGGACUCUAGCAGGACUGCUGCAGAUGAUGCGGAGGAAGGUGGGGACGACGUCAAAUCAGCAUGGCCCUUAUACCCUGGGCAACACACGUGAUACAAUGGCCGGUACAAAGGGUCGCGAAACCGUUAAAGGUGAAGCUAAUCCCAUCAAAACCGGUCUCAGUUCGGAUUGAGGGCUGCAACUUGCCCUCAUGAAGUUGGAAUCGCUAGUAACCGUAUAUCAGCUAUGGUACGGUGAAUACGUUCCCGGAGUUUGUACUCACUGCCCGUCAAGCCAAGGAAGUCGGUAAUACCCGAAAACCUGCGUUCGUGGGGAUAAGGUAGGACUGGUAACAGGGGCUAAGUCGUAACAAGGCAUCCGUAGCGGAAGCUGUGGAUG